GAUGAACGCUGGCGGCGCGCCUAACACAUGCAAGUCGAACGGCACCUAUCUUCGGAUAGAAGCGAGUGGCGAACGGCUGAGUAACACGUGGAGAACCUGCCCCCUCCCCCGGGAUAGCCGCCCGAAAGGACGGGUAAUACCGGAUACCCCCGGGCGCCGCAUGGCGCCCGGGCUAAAGCCCCGACGGGAGGGGAUGGCUCCGCGGCCCAUCAGGUAGACGGCGGGGUGACGGCCCACCGUGCCGACAACGGGUAGCCGGGUUGAGAGACCGACCAGCCAGAUUGGGACUGAGACACGGCCCAGACUCCUACGGGAGGCAGCAGUGGGGAAUCUUGCGCAAUGGGGGGAACCCUGACGCAGCGACGCCGCGUGCGGGACGGAGGCCUUCGGGUCGUAAACCGCUUUCAGCAGGGAAGAGUCAAGACUGUACCUGCAGAAGAAGCCCCGGCUAACUACGUGCCAGCAGCCGCGGUAAUACGUAGGGGGCGAGCGUUAUCCGGAUUCAUUGGGCGUAAAGCGCGCGUAGGCGGCCCGGCAGGCCGGGGGUCGAAGCGGGGGGCUCAACCCCCCGAAGCCCCCGGAACCUCCGCGGCUUGGGUCCGGUAGGGGAGGGUGGAACACCCGGUGUAGCGGUGGAAUGCGCUGAUAUCGGGUGGAACACCGGUGGCGAAGGCGGCCCUCUGGGCCGAGACCGACGCUGAGGCGCGAAAGCUGGGGGAGCGAACAGGAUUAGAUACCCUGGUAGUCCCAGCCG
rnacentral:rRNA from 1 species